AAAUACUGUGGGAACUCUUUGAUUUCGUGGGAUAAAAAGUCGCCUAUGUCACUCAUCAGGUCUUUAUCCAUAUCAACGCAAAAAAGCUAAUCCGUUGCUCCGUAGCCGCGUGAUUGAAGGGCAAACCAACAAACAAAACACUUUCGCAUUUAUAAAAUGAGUAUUGAUUUGACACUGACA